CAGCAGCCGCCGCGGUAAUACGAAGGGUGCAAGCGUUAAUCGGAAUUACUGGGCGUAAAGCGUGCGUAGGCGGUGAGUUAAGUCUGCUGUGAAAUCCCCGGGCUCAACCUGGGAAUGGCAGUGGAUACUGGCAAGCUAGAGUGUGUCAGAGGAUGGUGGAAUUCCCGGUGUAGCGGUGAAAUGCGUAGAGAUCGGGAGGAACAUCAGUGGCGAAGGCGGCCAUCUGGGACAACACUGACGCUGAGGCACGAAAGCGUGGGGAGCAAACAGGAUUAGAUACCCCCGUAGUCCCUGUCUCUUAUAC
rnacentral:rRNA from 1 species